AAAUAAUCCAGCAUAUGUAUAUAUUUUACUUAGUUUUUAUUUUUAAAUAUAGAUGCUCUUAACUAAGUCUAUAUAAUAUUUUUAAAAGUGUAAAAAAAUCCCAAAUUACCAAGAAUGCUGAAAUCAUAUAAAAAAUCCAGUCACCCUUUUAAUAUCCUUUGUAUUUCAGAGACAUAUUUUUAAAAUAAAGGUUGAAGAAUGCAGAAGAGACAGAAUGCAUAUUUUUAAUCAGAGCAAAGAAGAACUACAUGACAUACUUCCAAUGCUAGAGUAUCCCAUACUAGUAUAAAUAUAAUUUGUACUUUCAAGAUAGAUAUUAAGGGUAUGGUGGUACAUACUUGUAGUCCCAGCUGCUCAGGACAGGCUGAGGCAGGAGGAUUCUAAAUUCAAGGCCAGCCUCAAAACUUAGUGAGGCCCUAAGCAACUUAG
rnacentral:lncRNA from 1 species